rnacentral:rRNA from 1 species
AGUGAACGCUGGCGGUAGGCCUAACACAUGCAAGUCGAACGGCAGCACAGUAAGAGCUUGCUCUUACGGGUGGCGAGUGGCGGACGGGUGAGGAAUACAUCGGAAUCUACUUUUUCGUGGGGGAUAACGUAGGGAAACUUACGCUAAUACCGCAUACGACCUACGGGUGAAAGCAGGGGAUCUUCGGACCUUGCGCGAUUGAAUGAGCCGAUGUCGGAUUAGCUAGUUGGCGGGGUAAAGGCCCACCAAGGCGACGAUCCGUAGCUGGUCUGAGAGGAUGAUCAGCCACACUGGAACUGAGACACGGUCCAGACUCCUACGGGAGGCAGCAGUGGGGAAUAUUGGACAAUGGGCGCAAGCCUGAUCCAGCCAUACCGCGUGGGUGAAGAAGGCCUUCGGGUUGUAAAGCCCUUUUGUUGGGAAAGAAAAGCAGCAGGUUAAUACCCCGCUGUUCUGACGGGACCCAAAGAAUAAGCACCGGCUAACUGCGU